rnacentral:lncRNA from 1 species
AUGGUGCCCAUCUUAAGUCCCCAUCCCGGCGGCAGCGAGGACGCCCCUGGGGGCGAGCAGGUGCCGUCAGCAGGGCUGGGAGAGCCCCCUCGUCUGCGGGCCUGUGCGCCCACCCUGCGCACUCGUCUCAUGAGCCUCCUGGGUUCUGCAGCUCUGGGAGGCAACCCCAAGUCUGGGUGCUGGCUUCCCGAGACUCCUGGGCAGGGGGCACCUGGACCCCCACAGCCGCACUUUGAGAAGACGGGCACCCCAUCCUCCCAGCAGAGGUGGAACGAACAGCACCCAAACCAGUGGCCUUGGCCCCGUCCACCCUGUGAGCAGGAGCGACACGCAGUGGGGGAGGCGCCUGCCCGGCUCCACUCCCAGAAGUCAGGGUCCUCAACCACGUGUCCAGACACUGGGCACGGGGCAGCACCGUGCGUGUCGCACACGCCGACUCGUGCUGCUAACAGCCAGCAGGCCAGGCUGACACCCACAUGGUUAGGCCCAGAGCACAGUCCCAUCACUGCCCUUGGAGGGGUGCCUAGCACUGCGGUCCAGCCCAGCACCCCGGGCGCCCCCACGGCACUCUCAGCUGCGCCUGCUGUUGCACUUGGGGGAGUUUCCCCUCUGCUCGGUUCUAAAUCAGUUGCCCGACUGCAGAGGGGAGCGCGGAGGACACGAGCCCAUCCCUGGACGAGGCACAGCUGGCAGGCAGGGACCUCACGACUCCGCUCAGCCCGCAGGAAGCUCGGCCACUCGGGUCACGUGCAUAGCUGUCACGUCGGACGGAGGAGACACCACAGCGCCCGGCCUCGCCACGGACAGGACGGAAACCGACAAAGCCCGCUCUCACUGAGCGUCUGUUCAAAGCCUAACUCGGAGGAGACCUUCCUCAAAAUGGUCCUUCAGAUCAUGGCACCCGUCGGGGAAGCUCCUCCAGGACUAGCAGAUUGUUUAGGUCGCUCAGCUGCAAACGUCGCUGGGUCUUCAAACAGCAGAAAUCCACUUGCCACAGGGAGGGUGUCAUCGAGAACAGAGAGCUGGGCCGUGGGGAGGGUCCCAGCGGCGGCUCCUUCCGGAAACCCCGAGGCUCUGGUGUGUCCGCAGGGUGGACCGGGCAGCACACACGUCUGGUUUUCAAAUGCGACCUCGUGGCCCCUGAAAACACACGUGCGCUGCAGCAUCAGGUUUUUAAACCGCACACCAGACAUGGUCCCAGCUGUGUCUGGGCCUUAG